rnacentral:lncRNA from 1 species
GCUACCCUAUAUGACUGAAUUCAGCCAAUAUUAGCCCCAUACCAGCCAUUUCAAUUUCAUUCAAAUUUAUAAAUAAUUGAAGAGAGAGAAAGUCAUUAUCUAGCCUCAUUUUUGUGACAAACUCUCAACCUACACUUCCUCUCUCUAGACCCACGAAAAUAUGGAGUAUAUCAGUCCCUUAUAUGAUCCAUAGCAAGCCAAGAACAGAUCCCAAGGAUCAGAAAUCAAGAUCAAGCUUCAAGUGGUAUAAACCCUAAUUUUUGUAAAUCAUGUGAUUUUAUGUUAAUGAUUGGUUAGAUAGGUGUUAGAAGGUGCCUUUUAGAGAUCUGGGUUGUUGGAUCAUAGAUCCAUAACAUCUAGAUGCUCGAAUCUAAUGAUUUCAAAAAUCUGGAAAACUUGAAAAAUAUGGCCUGACAGCCAUAUGUCAGAGGCCCUAGAUCUUUACUUGUUAAUGUUUUGGUAUAUUUAAUGUUAUGUAUCUGUUCUUUGUUGUUAGGUCUUCGAUCUGAGACUUGAAUCAAACUCAGAUCAUGAAUAUAUUGCAAGAUAUGAUCGGUCAAAAGGUGUUGACCAAGCACGAAACUAUUUUCUGGGCAGCCAAGAAAUUUCCAGAAUUUCUGACAGUAAUUUUCAUGACCCUAGAUCUUGUUGUAUUUAAAGAGUUUGGUCACUUUAUUGUUUUGUGGUCGUAACCUGACAUGCGAACUUCACAUCUAUGCUUUUAUAUAACUUAGAUCAUGACCAGAAUGACAAUUAAUCUCGGUCAAACCUACGUUGACCAAUCUGCCUGAAGAACAAAUCUGGGUAACCCAGAUUUUUCCCAAAUCGCUCUGACAACAUAUUCAUGAGCCCAGAUAUGGCUUGUAUUUGAUGUUUUGAUGGUGUUAAUAUAUCUAUAUUGUAAUAUCGUCUAGGGACUACAUAUUGGUUCCUUUAUUUCACUUAAACAACAAACAAGAUUCAUUUAAUGAACGGUCAAAGUUGACUGCUCAGUCACGAAAUCCUUUUCUGGAAAACCCAGAUCUUCAUCAGCCGAGUUUUCUGUCAGACUUUGACCAGCCAUGAUCUUCUUGUUGUGAUGAUAAUAUGAUGCUAUGUUGUUAUAGAAUUGUUCACUGACAUCUCCACUACAAAUAAGAACCUUUAGAUCACACAAAUAAUACAUAUUCUGCAAGUUACAAUGAUUAAAAGGAAGACACUUGGACUGUUCUUCAUUUCUGGAAAACCCAGAAAUGAAGAACAGUGUCUGACAUGAAUUUGUAAGGCCUUUAUCUCACAAAUCUGUUGUUUUUUUGGUCAUGGAAUCAUUCACUAAUUGUAGACUUACAUUUAUACUAUGACACGAACACUUAAGCAGCCCAGAAAACUUAAAGAUCAUGAAUCUAGAACCGGUCAAACAUGGUACCCUGCACACUGACAUACGUUUCUGGGCAGGCUCAAGAACAGGCCAAGAACACCUAUAGCGACGGGUCUGUCGCUAUAGGGCUCUUUUAGCGACAAUUUAUUUAGAAAAUUAAUUAUUUUAAUUAAUAAAUAGAUAAAAAUGAUUUUUAAUUAUUAAAAAUACAAAAUAAAUUCCGAAAAAUUAUUUUAAAAUUUGAAAAAUAGUUUUUAAUUAUUUAGAGUAUAUUUCAUAAAUAUUUAAUAUUUUUGGAAUAUAAAUGGUAUUUAAUUUAUUUAAUUAUAAUAUUAAAUAAAUUAUUUAAAAAUGGUUUUAAUUCAUGAAAAGUCAUAAAAAAUGAUAUUAUGGUAUAAGAAAAUAUUUUAAGUUAUUUUUAAUGACUUUUGAUAUUUUGUGUGAAAUUUCUUCAAUUAAUUAAUAUUAAUGGUAAUUAGUUUAUUUAAUAAAUAUAUUAAAUAAAUUAUGGAAAAUUAGAAAUAAUACUUUAAAAAUCAUAUAAAAAUGAUUUAAGGGUUAGAAAAAUAUUUUAAGUUAUAAAAUAUAACUUUUGAUAUUUUGUCAUGAAAAUAUUAAUAUUUUAAUAUUAAAAGCAAUUAUCGGAUAAUGUAUUUAAUUGUUUAAAAAUCAUAUAAAGGUGAUUUUAAAGUAUUAAAAAUACUUUGUAAUAUUAUAAAUAUAUUAUAAUAUUAUGUUAUGAUUUUCAUUAAUAUUUUAUAUUAAAUAAAUAUAAAUGAUAAAGGAAUAUGGUGGUAUUUAUAUUAUAUAAAUACGAUAUUAAUGAUUGAAAAUUUUUGAUAAAUGAUAUUAAUUAUCUGAAAAUUAUUAUGAGCCUAUGAAAAAUAUUUUGACUGAUAAUAAAUUAUCUAAGAUAAUUGUUAAGUGUUUAAGCAGAGUUUAAUUGAACUUAAACUCAAAUAUUGUCCGACUAGACCGUCGGGAUGUUAGAAUUGUGUCGGGUUCAACUCAGACUGCAAUAGUUUGACUUGAUACCGAGUCUUAUGUGCUAAAUAGACUGAUAGGGUUAUGUGAUAAAUGUAUUUAGGUUAUUUUAAAUACUAUGAUGAUAUUAUUCUAAUGUGUGGAUCGGUAUUAUUUAUAUUAGGUUUUCAGACAAAGCUAGAUAAAUUGCGUAGCGGUAAUCAACGGUUCAGGCAAGUUUUUACUUAACUCUACUAAGAGUUGUUUCAUUCAGAUAUGCUUAUGGAUAAUCAUUGCUGAUUGCCAUUGUAGAAUUGUACUUUGUACAUAUUGCAUGUAUAAGUCAGGUAAUGAAGGUGAUCAUGAAAGGCUGAUCACCUUCAUUACCAUUCGGUUCAGAUAUAUUUGUUCAUGUUCAAUACUUGUUCAGUCAAAAGUUUGUUCCUGUUAGUUCACAAUUGUAUUGUUGAAUUAUAGCCAGCUUAUUAUUCAGAUUCUGUCAAUCAUGAUAUAUCGUUAUAUUAUUGAACUUAAACUUGUUGGGCAAUCUUAUGUUCACCCUUGCUAUAUCAUGAUAAACAUUGCAGAUUAAGGCGAAUACGUCGGAUACAGUUAAGGAAAAAGCCAAGUUCAACUUGGGAUUUUAUGUGCAGCUUAAUUCUAAUAGUAUAGUAUAAUAAUAUUGUUGUAUGUUAGACAGGUUAUGAAUUAUGUUUAUUUGAAGGUUACUCGGCCUUGGGGGAAAUAGUGUGUAAUGUAUUGUAUAAACAAUUUAUGUUUAUAUCUUCCGCAAAUAGUAAUAGUUAUAGAAUUAGCAUACCAAGAUCCGUGGUGAUUUGGGACCCGGAUUUGGGGAUGCUACAGUAGUACUACAAAAUGAAUAAAAACAGAAUGUUCUUACCUGUGUUGGAUGCUGUCCUGGACCGUCUCCAGCAUUAAUAACAGGAAUACUGGCCGUACUGGCUGCUCUUUUGGCAGCACCGCUUUCGAAAUGCCUCAUCACAAUUAUAUCAGAGUACCCUUCAACGGUUCUUAUGGUAUCUGUAAAGUAAGUUUCAAGAUCAGAGCUAAAAAAUCAUCAAGAUAACCUAAUUGUUUGCUAAUAAGAAAUGAAGAUACCACCUUCUAAUGUCUCUCCUUUUGCAGCUGAUGAGAACUCACGCGCAUUUUCUGUCGUCAAAACUUCCCCACCUAAUCGUUUCAUAGCAGACUCAAAUGAAAGCCUAGUCCUAGUCGAAGGCUCAUAAAAGAGGGUGGCCAUUAGAUAACCCU